CGGGGGGAGCAAGCGUUGUUCGGAUUUACUGGGCGUAAAGGGCGCGUAGGCGGCCACGACAAGUCACUUGUGAAAUCUCCGGGCUUAACUCGGAACGGUCAAGUGAUACUGUCGGGCUAGAGUGCAGAAGGGGCAACUGGAAUUCUCGGUGUAGCGGUGAAAUGCGUAGAUAUCGAGAGGAACACCUGCGGCGAAGGCGGGUUGCUGGGCUGACACUGACGCUGAGGCGCGAAAGCCAGGGGAGCGAACGGGAUUAGAUACCCCGGUAGUCCUGGCCUUAAACGAUGAAUGCUUGGUGUCUCGGGUUACAUAGUCCCGGGGUGCCGUCGCUAACGCUUUUAGCAUUCCGCCUGGGGAUACGGUCGCAAGACUG
rnacentral:rRNA from 1 species